GCUCUGAUGGGGGUCUCGUCUCUGUGGGACUAGAAAGUGUCCCAACAAUCUGACCAAGGUAAUAAGAGUCAGACAAGAAGAAGAGUUAAGGAAACAUGAGGCUGACAAAGACAGAGACCAAAGUCAGAAUCAGAGCUGUGCUGUGAGACAAAGAGAUAAGAGAAAUAAAAUGCUGGUCACAAAAGUCAGGAAAAUUAGAAAACUUAGAUAGUACCUGGCAACAAAAAAAAAAGCUUUUGGCUAAAGAUCAACGUGUAUACUGUAAAGAAAAUGAGCACUGGGUGAGAGACUGCCCCAACAAAAAGAAGAGGAGCCCCCCUCAUGACCAAACCCUUCACCUGUUCGUGGCUAAAAGUAAAGAGAUAACAAAAGGGGUGCUAAUACAGAAGCUGAGUCCUUAAACGAGUCCGGUGGCCUACCUGUUAAAGCAGCUAGAAAAAAGAGACUGUGUUUCAUACUCCUCCACCGACCAGUGCAAAACAAGCUAAAAAGUUCCUGGGCACUGCGGGCUUUUGCAGAUUGUGGAUUCCAGGUUUUGCUGAGUUAAAGAGAUAAACAGCCCUUCGUAUAAAGAAAAAAAGAACAAUCUUAGACGGCCUUAGAUGCUCUUGAGACUGCCCUAAUGUUGUCCCCAACUUUGGGACUCCUAGAUGUGACUGAGAACAAAGGUAUUGCCAAAGAAGUUCUUACUCAGAGAUUGGGACCCUGAAAAAGACCUGUGGCAUACUUGUAAGAAAUUAGACCUGGUGGCUGUAAGAUGGCCUGCUUGUCUGCACAUAGUGGCUUCUGGUCAAGGACGCAGAUAAAUUGACUCUGAGACAAAACUUGGCACAUGUCCUAGAAAGUGUGGUUCAGCCCCCAUGACCGAUGGCUGACUAACGCUCUUAAAAGCAUUAUCCAACUGUUCCCCUGACCGAUGGACACAUUGUCAGAGCUUUGACUGAACGAGUGACCUUCGCUCCCCCUGCUAUCCUCGAUCUCACUACUGCCUGAGACUUCACCUACUCAUCAUUGUGCUGACAUUCUGGCAGAAGGAACUCAUACGCGAAAUGAUCUGAAGGAUCAGAUCAGCCUUGGCCUGAGAGUUUGAGCUGGUACACGGAUGGCAGUAGCCUAGAGGUUGAGGGUAAGCGGAAGGCGGGGACAGCAGUGCAGUGGUGGACAGAAAGCAAGUGAUCUAGGCCAGCAGCCUCCUUAAAGGGACCUCAGCCCAGAAAGCUAAACUUGUGGCUUUAAUACAAGCUCUAUAUAUACAGACCAAGAGAGCUGUUGACAUCUGCAGAGAAAGACCUAAGAUGCUGUGGCUAAAAGAAAUCAGAUGGCAAAUCUAACCGCCCAGGCAUCCUAAAGAGCAAUGAUCCUGACAGUCUAAAGACUAUCAAGUUAUAGACAAAUUAAGACUGGUAAAAGAAACCCUGUAUAAAAUAGUAGAAACUGAAGAAAGAAAACUAGUCCUCUCAUGAGAAGACAUCUACUGAAAAAUAAACUUCACUGAAAAAAAAUAUGUGUAUAAAUACCUUCUGGUUUUUGUGAACGUUCUCAAGAUAGAUAAAAGCUUUUCCUUGUAAAAAUGAGACUGCUCAGAUAGUCAUCAAGAAGAUUAAAAUUUUCCAAGGUUCGGAGUGCCAAAAGCAAUAGUGUCAGAUAAUGGUCCUGCCUUUGUUGCCCAGGUAAGUCAGGGUGUGGCCAAGUAUUUAGAGGUCAAAUGAAAAUUCCAUUGUGUGUACAGACCUCAGAGCUCAGGAAAGAUAAAAAAGAAUAAAUAAAACUCUAAACAGACCUUGACAAAAUUAAUCCUAGAGACUGGCACAGACUUACUUGGUGCCCCUUCCCCUUGCCCUAUUUAAAACUGAGAAUACUCCCUCUUGAUUCAGUUUUACUCUUUUUGAGAUCCUUUAUGGGGCUCCUGUGCCCAUCACUGUCUUAAAUGAUGUGUUUAUAAUAAUGAUCUGUAUACUAAGUUAAAAGGCUUACAGGUGGUGCAGAAAAAAGUCUGGUCACAACUGGCUACAGUGAACGAGCUGGGUACCCCAAGGACAACUCACCAGUUCCAGCCAGAGAUCUGAUCUACGUACACCUGCGUCAUGCUGAGACCCUCAAGCCUCACUAGAAGGGUCCCUGCCUAGUUCUGUUUACUAAUCUGCCUUAUUCUGUUUCUGUUCCCAUGUUAAAGAUAGAGUAAAUGCAGUAUUCUCCACAUAGAGAUAUAGAUUUCUGAAAUUCUAAGAUUAGAAUUACUUACAAGAAGAAGUGGGGAAUGAAGAAUGAAAAAUUACUGGCCUCUUGUGAGAACAUGAACUUUCACCUCGGAGCCCACCCCCUCCCAUCUAGGUGUAUGAGUUUCGACCCCAGAGCUCUGUGUGCUUUCAUGUUGCUGCUUUAUUUCAACCCCAGAGCUCUGGUCUGUGUGCUUUCAUGUCGCUGCUUUAUUAAAUCUUACCUUCUACAUUU
rnacentral:lncRNA from 1 species